rnacentral:rRNA from 1 species
UAGUAACGGCGAGUGAAGCGGGAAGAGCUCAAAUUUGAAAUCUGGUGGCCUCAGGUCAUCCGAGUUGUAAUCUAUAGAAGUGUUUUCCGUGCUGGCUCAUGUACAAGUCCCUUGGAACAGGGCGUCAUAGAGGGUGAGAAUCCCGUCCUUGACAUGAACUACCAGUGCUCUGUGAUACAUUUUCAACGAGUCGAGUUGUUUGGGAAUGCAGCUCAAAAUGGGUGGUAAAUUCCAUCUAAAGCUAAAUAUUGGCGAGAGACCGAUAGCGAACAAGUACCGUGAGGGAAAGAUGAAAAGCACUUUGGAAAGAGAGUUAAACAGUAUGUGAAAUUGUUGAAAGGGAAACGAUUGAAGUCAGUCGUGCUCUUUGGAUUCAGCCGGUUCUGCCGGUGUACUUCCUUUGAGUGGGGUCAACAUCAGUUUUGAUCGCUGGAUAAAGGCUGGAGGAACGUAGUACCCUCGGGUAAACUUAUAGCCUCCUGUCACAUACAGUGGUUGGGACUGAGGAACGCAGCACGCCUUUAUGGCCGGGAUUCGUCCACGUACGUGCUUAGGAUGUUGACAUAAUGGCUUUAAACGACCCGUCUUG